rnacentral:rRNA from 1 species
GCUUACGCGGAGCGGCGGACAGCUCAGUAAUACAGUUACGAUUUACCCGGGGCAGCAAACGGAUAACCGUGGUAAGCUACGGCUAAGACGUGGACGCGCUGCGCGGGGGUGAGGCCGGCGCAGCGGACAGGACACGGCCGCGGCUAAGUUUCUGGCCUAUCAGCUAUUGGAAGGUAGGGUAAGGGCCUACCUUGGCGAUGACGGGUGACGGGGGAUGAGAGUCCGAUUCCGGAGAG